rnacentral:tRNA from 1 species
GCGGGAGUGGUGGAACUGGUAGACACGCAGGACUUAGGAUCCUGUGCUUCGGCGUGCGGGUUCGAGUCCCGUCUUCCGCA